rnacentral:lncRNA from 1 species
AGUACACCAUAGCAAUGAUGGGAUAUGCUGAUGAAUAUAAGACAACUGUCCUUGAGUUGACAUACAAUUAUGGUGUGACUGAAUAUACCAAAGGAAAUGCGUAUGCACAGGUUUGUUAUAUGCUUGUGAAAAUUCUUCAGUUUUUAUCAUUCAACUCUGGCCUCAUGGUGGAUGUAAUAAUAUUUCUAGGUUGCAAUCAGUACUGAGGAUGUAUAUAAAAGUGCCGAGGUUGUGAAUCUUGUAACCCAAGAGCUUGGAGGAAAGAUAACUCGGCAACCAGGACCACUUCCUGGACUGAACACUAAGAUCACUUCUUUCCUAGAUCCAGAUGGUUGGAAAACAGUAAGUUCUCACUUCUCAGGGAUUCAUACUGUACCUUGGAUUUUGACAUUAAUAUUAAUGUUACUAUUGCAUUCUCUCUUCAGAGUUUCGCUUUUCGACUGCAAUUAGUAGUAUUUGAGUACCUCUUCUCCACCCCUCGUGAGCUCGCCACCGUUUGCCCCCAUUAAUUUUUAUUACAUUUUCCUCUCACAUGUUUUCAACCACACAAUCAUACAUAAAAUAAUAUUACACGUAAGUAAAAAACUUUUCCUUUUUUAACCACUUAUUUAAAAAAAAAAACACUAUUCCACCCAUUUCAUUUCCAAAUAAAUGGGGGCCAAACAGGGGAUAUAAGAUUAUGUGCUUCAUUUUUUGUAGGCUAUAUAUGAAAUGAGACAAUUUAUCCAUACUGGUUGCACUGUGACUUGUUCUGAACAUUGGUUAGCCCAUAGUGAUAGCUUCAUCUUGAUGUAAGCUCGUUUCACCGUUUCUGUUGUAUUUAGGUUCUGGUCGAUCACGCAGAUUUUCUGAAGGAAUUGGAGAUCAAAGAGUAAUGAGCACGGUUGUGAUUAAGGGACUGGAUUUCAAAUCUGGGGUUAAUAGUUUAGCUAUGGUAAAUAAAUAACCCCGGACGAGUAGUAUUUGCCAGUAUUGAGUUUUAAUCCAAGUCAGAAUGCAGUGUUAACCAUGUUUUGAGUACACAGCGAGCUUUUCUCUGAUGUAUUUUACUGCAUUAUCUUAUGAGUACUUUUCAAACUUUUCUCUGAGAUCUAAUCCAGUCAGAAUGAACUGUGUUUAUGUUUAUAUUUCAAGAUUUUUCAUGG